rnacentral:rRNA from 1 species
UACACGCUGUGACUAGCAUAUCAAUAAGCGGAGGAAAAGAAACUAACAAGGAUUCCCCUAGUAACGGCGAGUGAAGCGGGAAGAGCUCAAAUUUGAAAUCUUAAAGGGUUUCCCUUUACGAAUUGUAGUUUAAAGAAGUGUUUUCUGUUGAGGUUUUGGUAAAAGUUCUUUGGAAUAGGACAUCAUAGAGGGUGAGAAUCCCGUAUUUGACCUUUACUUUCAACUUUGUGAUACACUUUCAAAGAGUCGGAUUGUUUGGGAAUGCAGUCCAAAAUGGGUGGUAAAUUUCAUCUAAAGCUAAAUAUUGGCGAGAGACCGAUAGCGAACAAGUACCGUGAGGGAAAGAUGAAAAGAACUUUGAAAAGAGAGUUAAACGGUACGUGAAAUUGUCAAAAGGGAAGCGUUUGACACCAGUGUUGUUUUUCUGAAAAUCAAUUAAAGAACUGUUUAUGCUAAGCUGUUUAGACUUUAUCAGCUAUCUGUUUAGUUUUGAGCUUUUCUUUAAUGCACUUUUCAGUUAACAAGUCAACAUCAAUUUCUUUUGCUGUAAAAAAGCUUGAGGAAGGUGGCUUGAGAUUCGUCUUAAGUGUUUAUAGCCUCUUGCCUAUGCAGUCGGAGAGAUUGAGGUCUGCAGCGUAGAUCCUUCGGGGCUAAAUGCAUUUGUGCUAAGUUAUAGCAUUUUAUAGACAACUUGUUGACUAUGAUUUGUCUUGUAGCUUACUCGCUUAUGUUAUUUUACCUACGCUUAGGAUGUUGAUAUGCAUGACUGAUAU